CAGUAGCCGCGGUAAUACGAAGGGGGCUAGCGUUGUUCGGAUUUACUGGGCGUAAAGCGCACGUAGGCGGACUUUUAAGUCAGGGGUGAAAUCCCGGGGCUCAACCCCGGAACUGCCUUUGAUACUGGGAGUCUUGAGUUCGAGAGAGGCGAGUGGAAUUGCGAGUGUAGAGGUGAAAUUCGUAGAUAUUCGCAGGAACACCAGUGGCGAAGGCGGCUCACUGGCUCGAUACUGACGCUGAGGAGCGAAAGCGUGGGGAGCGAACAGGAUUAGAUACCCCCGUAGUCCCUGUCUCUUAUAC
rnacentral:rRNA from 1 species